UGGACCUGAACCACAUGACUGUUUCCCUUCUAACUUAAUGCACAGACAUCUCAAACCAAGGAUAUGAGUGGGCUGAAACAACUAAUCGCAUUUUGGCACAGGCAAGUACAAAAGGAAACCCAGAACUACUAAUUCAACAGCUUGAAAUAUCAGCUGCUGCAUGCAAGAUCUUUAAAGAGCUCCUCUAAAGAGAACAUACCCUUUAAACUUGUAAUUUUUCAUUUUAAAAAUGUCAAAAAAAAUCUUGGAAAAAUACGGAAGAAACCAGCAUUGUUGAUACAAAGCCUGAAUCCACUGACGUCUAAUAGUGGAAUUACAAAGGGGAAAAGACAAAAAAAAAGGCAGCUCCAUAAAUUCACAGAUCACUCAAAGCUCCUGGCCUGGCAUUUGGAUCUGCAUAAGACAUGGCUGGUUAUGAAAAAGCCACUGCCAUCAGCAGCAACCCAAUGGUUCUUGAUUUUGGGAAGAUGCUUUCUUUUAAGAUUUUUAAGAAUUCUUUUGUCCAUCUUCCCAACAACAUCCUUAAAUAAUCUGGUGGAUUUCAGCAUGUAAGGGUUGAUUUUAUUUUAAGCAUAAGGUUUCACAGAUGAACCUGGCUUGUAAAACUGCUUUUUGUCAACUCAGUGAUCACAAAAAAUUGCAUGGAAUUAAUCACUUCUAUUGUCACUUGGAAAUCAAGAAUAAAAGUGCUAAUAUCUGGAAGCUGUAGAGAGAGCAUAUGUGUUAUCUAUUGAGAAAGACAGAUAAUAUGUACUGGGAAAAGAAAAGAUCUGUGAGGUAACUGUUAGAAGAAUUAGAAUGAAACCUAAAUGAGAGGAUUUCAAAAUAGAACAAAAAGAACAGAAGUGAGAAAAUAGUCAAAUUCUUGAAAACAGAAGCAUCAGAAAACAAAAGGAUGAAAGAAAAACUGAAUACAGAUAAUCAGAUAGAAAAGUUGUAUUUGUUCGCAUGAUAUAAAAGAAGCUUUAAGAUUUUGGAAAAAAAAAAAAAAAAAAAAAAAUGAAGAGUGAUCCAAAAUGUCAGCAGACCUAAAUGGCUAAUCAAAAAAUCCCACUCUUGAGGCAUAUACUCAUACUCAAUCCCAGCCAUGAAGCAUAUAUGUAUGCUUAGCUUUACCUCACACAAGUAACACCAGUGAGUUCAGCAGUAAGCUAGCUCCACCAGUGUAAAUCACACUUCUCCCUCUCUCCACCCCCAGUUUCAGCAAAUGCAGCCACAGUAAAGACUAGAGAGAGAAAGAAAAAAAAAAAAAAAAAAAAAAAAGACAGGAAGACAGAACUCAAAUGCAAUUUCCAAUUCA